UGGUGUGAUCUUCAGGAUGAUCUGGC
rnacentral:piRNA from 1 species